rnacentral:rRNA from 1 species
UACGUAGGUGGCAAACGUUGUCCGGAUUCACUGGGCGUAAAGCGCGCGCAGGCGGAUUGGUCAGUCUGGGGUGAAAUCUCUCGGCUCAACUGAGAGAGGUCCCUGGAUACUGCCAGUCUUGAGGGGCUCAGAGGAGAGUGGAAUUCCGCGUGUAGUGGUGGAAUGCGUAGAUACGCGGAGGAACACCAGUGGCGAAGGCGGUUGCCUGGAGCUUUGCUGACGCUGAGGCGCGAAAGCGUGGGGAGCGAUCCGG